rnacentral:rRNA from 1 species
GAUGAACGCUGGCGGCGUGCCUAAUACAUGCAAGUCGAGCGAACAGACGAGGAGCUUGCUCCUUUGACGUUAGCGGCGGACGGGUGAGUAACACGUAGGUAACCUACCUAUAAGACUGGGAUAACUUCGGGAAACCGGAGCUAAUACCGGAUAAUAUUUCGAACCGCAUGGUUCGAUAGUGAAAGAUGGCUUUGCUAUCACUUAUAGAUGGACCUGCGCCGUAUUAGCUAGUUGGUAAGGUAACGGCUUACCAAGGCAACGAUACGUAGCCGACCUGAGAGGGUGAUCGGCCACACUGGAACUGAGACACGGUCCAGACUCCUACGGGAGGCAGCAGUAGGGAAUCUUCCGCAAUGGGCGAAAGCCUGACGGAGCAACGCCGCGUGAGUGAUGAAGGUCUUCGGAUCGUAAAACCCUGUUAUUAGGGAAGAACAAACGUGUAAGUAACUGUGCACGUCUUGACGGUACCUAAUCAGAAAGCCACGGCUAACUACGUG